CGGAGCGCAUGCGCGACGAUUCCCUUCUAACUACUACCUUCCCCUGUCCCGGCAGCCGCAGCCGCUGCCGCCAAGGAGUCGGGAAGUUCAAAAUGGCCGCCGUCGAGUCUCAGCCGCCGCGGGAAGCGCCUGAAAUGGAAGAUGCAGAUAAUUCUGAAAAGAGCAUAAAUGAAGAAAAUGGAGAAGUGUCGGAGGAGGACCCAUCUCAAAAUAAGCACAGUCGACACAAAAAAAAGAAGCACAAACAUAGAAACAAACACAAGAAACAUAAACAUUCUUCAGAAGAUGACAAGGACAAAAAACAUAAACAUAAGCAUAAACAUAAGAAACAUAAACGAAAAGAGGUUAUUGAUGCCUCUGACAAAGAAGGGGCAUCUCCAGCAAAAAGAACUAAAAUUGAUGACUUAGCUUUGCUGGAAGAUUUGGAAAAACAGAGAGCUUUAAUUAAAGCUGAACUUGAUAAUGAGUUGAUGGAAGGAAAAGUCCAGUCUGGAAUGGGGCUAAUAUUACAGGGUUAUGAGUCAGGCUCCGAAGAAGAGGGAGAAAUACAUGAGAAGGCGAGAAAUGGGAAUAGAUCAACUGCUAGGUCAUCAAACACUAAGGGAAAACUUGAACUCGUAGACAAUAAAAAUAGUUCAAAGAAACGAAGCAAAAGCAGAUCAAAAGAACGGACUAGACAUAGAUCUGAUAAAAAGAAAAGCAAGGGAAGCAUUGAAGGAGUUAAAGAAAAAACAACCAGAAGUAAGUCUAAGGAAAGAAAAAAGUCCAAGAGUCCAUCUAAAAGAAGCAAAUCUCAAGAUCAAGCAAGAAAAUCAAAAUCCCCAGCACUUAAAAGGCGAUCUCAGGAGAAAAUUGGAAAGGCCAAAUCCCCUACUGAGGAUAAGAUUAAAUUAGAAGAUAAAAGUAAAUCAAAAGAUAGAAAGAAAUCUCCAAUUAUAAAUGAAAGCAAAAGUCGUGAUCGUGGGAAAAAAUCCAAAUCUCCAAUAGAACUAAGAAGCAAAUCCAAAGACAGAAGGUCAAGAUCCAAAGAUAGAAAAUCCAAAAGAUCUGAGAUUGACAAAGAAAAGAAGCCAAUUAAAUCUCCCUCUAAAGAUGCUUCCUCUGGAAAAGAAAAUAGGUCCCCAAGUAGAAGACCAGGUCGUAGUCCUAAAGGAAAAAGUUUAUCUCCAAAACAGCGUGAUAAAUCCAGAAGGAGUAGGUCCCCUCUACUUAAUGAUCGGAGAUCCAAGCAAAGUAAAUCACCAUCUCGGACUCUGUCUCCUGGUAGAAGAGCUAAGAGUCGAUCAGUGGAAAGAAAACGAAGAGAACCAGAAAGGAGAAGACUUUCUUCUCCAAGAACACGUCCUAGGGAUGAUAUUCUUAGCAGACGUGAGAGAUCAAAAGAUGUCAGUCCUAUUAGUAGAUGGUCCCCAACCAGAAGAAGAUCAAGUAGGUCUCCUAUCCGCAGGAGAUCUCGUUCACCACUCAGACGAAGCCGGUCUCCAAGGAGAAGAAGCAGGUCCCCAAGAAGAAGAGAUAGAGGUAGGCGGAGUAGAUCUCGACUUCGACGUCGGUCUCGAUCAAGGGGUGGUCGUAGGCGCAGAAGCAGAAGCAAAGUAAAGGAAGAUAAAUUUAAAGGAAGCCUUUCUGAAGGAAUGAAAGUUGAACAGGAAUCAUCAUCUGAUGAUAACCUAGAAGACUUUGAUGUUGAAGAAGAAGAUGAAGAAGCCCUAAUAGAGCAGAGAAGAAUCCAAAGGCAGGCAAUUGUUCAGAAAUACAAAUACCUUGCUGAGGAUAGCAAUAUGUCUAUGCCAUCUGAGCCAAGCAGCCCUCAGAGUAGCACUCGAACACGUUCACCAUCUCCUGAUGACAUUUUAGAACGGGUUGCUGCUGAUGUUAAAGAAUAUGAAAGGGAAAAUGUUGAUACAUUUGAGGCUUCUGUAAAAGCCAAGCACAAUCUUAUGACAGUUGAACAAAAUAAUGGUUCUACUCAGAAGAAACUAUUGGCACCUGACAUGUUCACAGAAUCAGAUGAUAUGUUUGCUGCAUAUUUUGAUAGUGCUCGUCUUCGGGCUGCUGGCAUUGGAAAAGAUUUCAAAGAAAAUCCCAACCUCAGGGAUAAUUGGACUGAUGCAGAAGGCUAUUACCGUGUUAACAUAGGUGAAGUCCUAGACAAACGUUACAAUGUGUAUGGCUACACUGGACAGGGUGUCUUCAGUAAUGUAGUGAGAGCCAGAGAUAUGGCAAGAGCAAACCAGGAAGUGGCAGUGAAAAUCAUCAGGAACAAUGAGCUUAUGCAAAAAACGGGGUUAAAAGAACUGGAAUUUUUGAAAAAGCUUAAUGAUGCUGAUCCUGAUGACAAAUUUCAUUGUUUACGGCUCUUCCGACACUUUUACCAUAAACAACAUCUCUGCCUUGUGUUUGAGCCUCUAAGUAUGAAUUUACGAGAGGUAUUGAAAAAGUAUGGAAAGGAUGUCGGUCUCCAUAUUAAGGCUGUAAGAUCCUAUAGUCAGCAGUUGUUCUUGGCAUUGAAACUUCUUAAAAGGUGCAACAUUCUACAUGCUGAUAUCAAGCCAGACAAUAUCUUGGUUAAUGAAUCAAAAACUAUUCUAAAGCUUUGUGAUUUUGGAUCAGCUUCACAUGUUGCAGAUAAUGACAUUACACCCUAUCUCGUCAGUAGAUUUUAUCGUGCUCCUGAAAUUAUUAUAGGAAAAAGCUAUGACUAUGGUAUAGAUAUGUGGUCUGUAGGCUGCACAUUAUAUGAACUUUAUACUGGAAAAAUAUUAUUUCCUGGUAAAACCAAUAAUCAUAUGUUGAAACUUGCUAUGGACCUCAAAGGGAAAAUGCCAAAUAAGAUGAUAAGAAAAGGUGUGUUCAAAGAUCAGCACUUUGAUCAAAAUCUCAACUUCAUGUACAUAGAAGUAGAUAAAGUAACAGAAAGGGAGAAAGUUACUGUCAUGAGCACCAUUAAUCCUACCAAGGACCUCUUGGCUGAUUUGAUUGGGUGCCAGAGACUUCCUGAAGACCAACGCAAAAAAGUACACCAGCUAAAGGACUUGUUGGACCAGAUCUUAAUGUUGGACCCAGCUAAACGAAUUAGCAUCAACCAGGCUCUACAGCAUGCCUUCAUCCAGGAAAAAAUUUAAAUGAGAUGAAGAAGCUCAAAGGGUUUGAGUAAUUAAAAUACAAAGACUGAAGAAAUUUCACAGCAGUUUAUUAAUGUAUAUAAACUUAUAAAUAUUUCCCCUGCAAAUUGAGGAAGCAUGAUAUAUUUGAAUUAACACCAAGGCUGAUAUUUCUUUUAGAAAUGUUAGAGUAAAGUAAAUCUGUUUGUGUCUUAUGUGAAAAUUUUCACUGUAGAACUGUUUUAAUUGCUGAGACUGCACACAAGUACAGUGCUAAUGUAAAUUGUUGCAGUUCACAUCAAAAGGAAAAAAUAUCUGUUAUAAAAUGAACAGUAAUACUGGGUGGAUGAUUGGUUUUUUAGCAGACUUGGCUUCAUUUUUGUCUUAAAAGAAAAAAAAAAGGCCAGCAUAAAUGCUGUUUAUAUUCACGUUUUCCUAGGUGUGUGUGUGCAGGCCACAGCAGCAUGCCCUUGGUGUAGUCAGUGCCGAAAGGGGUCUGUUCCUUCUUGAGCCUGCCUGCAGGGAUGGUCUCCUCUUUUAAAGCAGGUUGUGUACAACUUUCAGUACACUGAAGGUAAGCUAAACCAUCAACAUCACUGGUGUUUUAAGAUGUUAUUUUACUGGAACAACUGGCAAAUAAGGGACAAUAGCUUUGUGGCAGAAUUCCCUGCAUGUUCAAUAACUGAUCUUGUUUUAUUUUUUGGCAUUGCAACUGUGGCAUAGUUACAACUUCUGUUCUGUUCAUCACAUUUAAAAUUUGGAGAGUGCGCGCUUGAUGGGUAAAGCGCCUUCAGUGUACUGUUUCUUAUUACUUUAAUUUUUUAAAUCAACUUGCUAUAGACUUUGUAUACAUUUUGUUAAAUACAGUUCCCAAUGACAUAGAACCAAUACUUACAGUUUUCAUUUACUAAUUAUAAAUGUUGGGGUCUAAUUCUGAAAAGUCCUCAUUUAAAAGUUAGAUAGACAACAUAAUGAAAUUUUUAACUAUUUGUAUGUCAUUUUGAAAGUGUACUGCUUUAUGGUAAAAGUGUUUCAUUUGUUCAUUGUUUUCAUUAUUUGUGAUCAUGUUGUCUUUCAAUACAGGCAUAAACCUUCCACUCUUGAACAAAGCAGCUGCUUUUUAAAAGCGAAAAAAAGAAAGCGGGGCACAGGCCAUUCAACGCCUUCUCCAGGGGGCCUGAUUUGCUGAGACACCAACUUCACCUUCUUAACAAGGUGCAGUUCAAGGAAGAUGACGACAACCAGAAGACAUGAGCUAAGGGUAAGUGACUGUUCUUCUGAAGAACCUUUUGCAUUUAAAUGAUCAAGAUAUGGGAGCCUGUACUCUGCAAUAUUGAAGAUACAUCCUAACUAUUUCAUGACAUAUUGAACUGGAAUAAGCAUUAAGGGGCACAUUUUCUUGGCCUAGUUACUGAUCACUUAACUAAAUGUCCCUCUUUACUACUCUGUAGUCUCUCUCUUUUCUCCUUUAUUUGAGUUUGGUAUUGUGUACUCCUUCACUUUAGAAGAAUGAUUUUUAAAAACAUUUCCAAACUAAGUGCAAGAUACUGUUUUAAGUAUUUGUUGUUUCAUUCCUUUUGAUAGGUAUUAACAAUAGUUGUUUCUCAUAGUAGCAAAACCAUAUGCUGUAACCUUAAAUUUAUUCACUAAUAAAAUGUUUAGGUGUUUAAAUAUUGCUGUUUAGCCUUUACUACCUCCAAAAUAACUUCAAAAGAUAUACAAUCUUUUUUUUUUUUACCUCAGAUCAUUAUUAUCUUAAAUCGAGAAAAAUAACAGUAAUGUAUAAUUCUUCUACUAAAGGAAGGGAAAUAAGAUUGAUUUCAGCACACUUGACUUUUUUAGCUAAUUUUUAUUUUGGGGUUGGAUGGGUUAGUUUCUUUCCUGAAUGAUCUAUAGUAUAGGAGUGCUAGGGAAAAAAGCAAUAACAUUAAUUUAUUCCUUUAGAAAUGGGUUGCUUACUGCCAUGCUUGCUCAAAAAACCCAUUAUAUGAAGGUUUGGGGAUUGGAAAGGGCACUUAAUUCAUAUAGUCCAUUUCCUACCGUCCACACCCCAGAACUGGAAUGAACCAAUUUCUUGUAAAAGUUAUUGAGAAUUUUAUAAUGCCUUCUUGACCAAAGUCAUAAUUCACUACCCCUUAACUUAUAUUUGUUGUUUUCUGAAUAUUUUAAUGUAGUAAGCUACUGUAAACUACAUUGCUGCCAUAUUACUACUGUACUAUAUCACUUGCCAUAAAUAUUUGUAGACAUUUAAUCAUAUAUAUUUUAUAUCCUAGAAGUUUUAAAGUUAAAGUCCUAAGAAGUCUACUUUGAAAGGAUAGGUUUCUUAUUUUUCUAGUUGUUUGCAUGCUACUGUAUAGAAUGAAAAAAACAACUGCUUAAAUACAAUAAGAUGUAAGGCAAGUAGUAUAGAAUAUCAGAUUGGAAUAUGGAUAAAAUUAUCCCAAGUUUUAUAAGGACCCUUAAGUGAAUACACUCCAAUUAGAGCAUCCCAAAGCAUAUUUAGUCUUGUAUUUUGAAAUUAUCUGGUCUACAUUUUCUAGAUUUUGAUUCACCUUUGUGCUUAUUUGCUCUAUAUCUAACCAGAUGAUGGGCCUAUGGGAGCUCACAAUGAAAAAAUAUUUAAAUAUACUUGCAUUGGAAGCAAUCGGCUUUUAAGCAAGGAUAAUUUGAAUUUUUUUUUUUGGUCAUUUAACAAAAUUUUGUAUUUGCAAGGAAGAUUAUCAACAGGAAAGCAUAAGUGAACUCUUUAAAAUUGAAGGACAUGAAACAUAAGCUCUUUGGAACCAAACAGUACAAAUAUGACAUUUCUGCUUAUAUCAGUUUGAAUUGUGUAACAUGGUAGUUUCUGAAUCUAACUCUAAAUAAAUAUGCGUCUCCCUGAA